AACACCAGGGGGUUACAGCUGAUUCUUCACAACUCUGUGUGAGUGGCCUCCUCCAGUAUGCAGCAGGAGUUAGCAGUUCAUAAAGAUGUAAAAGCAUGACCACCUGAGGCUGUAGCUAAUGGCUGCAAUGUCAGCUACAGCUAAGGUCUUGCUGCCUGGCCCCUAAUGACUGUGACAUGCCAGGAGGUAUUCUCUGAUGUCACCACCAUUUCCCGGGGAUGAUGAAGGUGAUUAGGGAAAUCUAAUUAUGGGAGCAUACUUUGGAAAAACCCAAGGAAGCAAAGCAUGUUUUGGGAAGAUUAUUGCCAGGCAUUAUCAAAUUUAGAAAGGUGUGUAUUGAAAUUCCUGAUAUGCGUAAGGUGUUUGUGGGUGUCACUGAAGCAGAUGAGAGGCUUUCUUUUCUCUUGUUUGCUCUGAUGGA